AUCCCUCCUUUUGGAGUUUUCCAGCAAGCCCAGGACAAGGGAUAUGGCAUGUAAACUAUUGGAAAUUAAAGCAAGAAACAAAGAAACCUGCAAACCAAGGCUUAAUAUCAGUCCUGACAUAGAGCCAAACUGUAAAUGGCAUUUAGAUGUUGAAAGACCAGGUUGGGAAAAUGGGAGAAGACCACACUGAGUAAACUUGGAACUAAAUCUGUAGUGACUAUUAGCUGUAAACAAGCAACUGGCUCCAGUCCCGUGCUGUCAGAAGUCUGUAGUAUGUUUUACCUUAGUCAGCAUAACACAGCUGCCUGGUCAAGUUCAUUAAAAAGAUAUCUAAAGCCUAAUGUAAAUGUUCUGCAUCUCACACACACAGUCUUAAAGAAUACUAAAGGAUCCUGCUGAAAUCUUGGGUGUUUAUUCUUAAAAACUGAAUGGAUGUUGAUUGCAGGAUGCUCUGUGAUGAACAGGAAAUGGCUUGGAUUAAGAACUGGCUAAAAAUUACAAUUGAUGUGUGAGGAAAAAUAACUAGUUAAGUUUUUAGUAACACCAAUGGAAACACCAUGCAGCAUUCCAGAGAACUUUGGAAGCUGCCAGAGCUUCAAGAUCCAAAAUACCAGUACCUUCUGCGGGCCUUUCCACUUGAAAGAUGGCAAAGUGGUGAAACUUGACCACAGUUUUAGAACAAAUCUGUGAGGUCUUACUACCUCACAGAAUUUCAGCACCAAAUCUGCAAUUCAAAUGUUUAAUUAAGUUUGAAAGCUAUCUGAUUUUCAUCAUUCACCAAGCAACAGAAAUAAAAUGCAUUCUUAUCA